rnacentral:tRNA from 1 species
GCCGGCGUAGCUCAGUUGGCUAGAGCGCCUGACUGUGGAUCAGGAGGUCACAGGUUCGAGCCCUGUCGUCGGUA